AGACAGACAAAUUAGUAGAAAGAUAGAUAGAUAGAAAGAUAGAAAAGUAGAAAGAUUGAUACAUGGAUGACCAGAGAGACAGACAGAUAUGUACAUAGAUAAAUAUAAAGUUCAACAGAUAAGUAGAAAGAUAAACAGAUAGAUAGAUUUAUAGACACCCAGAUAGAUAGAAAGAUAAAUAGAAAGAAAGAUACAUAGAUGGUUAUACAACCAGCCAGAAAGAUAAAUAGAAAAAUAAAUAGAUAUAGGAAGAAACAGACAGAGAGACAGACAGAGAGACAGACACACACACACACACAUACACACAGAGGGAGAGAGAGAAAGAGAGAGGGAUAGCUACUUUGAAAGAUAGAUGAAUACACACAGCCAAAUAGACAGACAGAAGAACAGAUAGACAGAUAGAAAGCAGAUAAAUAGAAAUAUAGAUAAAUGGAUAGAAAACCAAAUAAAUUGACACAUAGAUAGAUAGAUAGAUAGAUAGAUAGAUAGAUAGAUGCAUAGCCAGAGAGACAGACAGAUAUAUAGAUAAACAAAUACAUAGAUAGAUUGAUAGACAGCCAGAUAGAUAGAUAGAUGAUAGAUACAUAGAAAGAAAGAUACAUAGAUGGAUAGACAGCCAACCAGCCCAAAAGAUAAAUAGAUGGAUAGAGAGAUAGAGAUAGACAAAUGGACAGCUACUUUGAAAGAUGGGUAGAUAGAUGAAUAUACAGCAAAACAGACAGACAGAAGAAUAAACAGAUACAUAGAUAGAAAGCAGAUAAAUAGAAAUAGAUCAAUUUAAACAUGGACAGAUAGAUAGCCAGAAAAAAUAAAAGGAGAGAGAGUGAGAGAGAGAGAAAAAGAGAGAGAGAGAGAUACACAGACAGACAGAUAAAUAGAAAGAUAGAUAGGUAGAUUGACAGCCAGUCAAUAAGUCAGCCAGCCAGCCAGACAUAUAGAUAAAUAGAAAAAUACAGAUAGAUGGAUAGACAGACAGACCAAAAAAUAGAUAGAUUAAACAGAAAGAUAAGUACAUAUAUGGGUAGACAGCCAGAUAGUUAGAGAAAUAGAAAAUCAGAUAGAUAAAUGCAUAGACAGAUAGACAAAUAGAUAGGCAGAUAAAUAGAAAUAUAGGUAGAUAGAUGGAUAGAGAAAUACAAACAGAUAGACAGAUAAAUAGAUAAACAGAUAAAUAGAAAGUUAGAUUCAUAGGUGCAUAGACAUAGUCAUAUCGAAAGACAGAUAAAUAAAAAACAUUUAAAUGGAUAUUCAGACGGACAGAUCGAGAUAAAUAGAAAGAUAGAUGGUAGACAGAAUGAUAGAUAUACAGAUAAAUAGAAAGAUGGAUGGAUAGAUAGCUAGAGAGACAAACAGAUAAAAAGAAAAAUAGAUGAAUGGAUAAAGAGAUAGGCAAGCAGGCAGACAAGCAGAAAGACAGAAAAACAGACAGACAGACAGACAGGCAGAUAAAUAGCAAGAUAGACAGGAGAUAAAUAGAAAGUUAGAUAGAUGGACAUAUUGACAGACAGAAGCAUAAACAGAUGCACAGACAAAUAGAUAGAUGCAUAAAUAGCCAGGUGGACAAACAGAUAAAUAGAAAGUUAGAUAGAUAGAUAGACAUAGAGAUAAAUGGAUAGACAUAUAUUGAUAGAUAGACAAACAGAUAAAUAGAAAAAUAGAUUGAUAGGUGCAAAAACAGACAAAUAGACAGAUAAAUAGAAAAAUUAUUUAAAUGGAUAUUCAGACAAACAGAUUGAUAGAUUAAUAGAAAGAUAGAUUGUAGACAGAUAAACAUAAAUAGAAAUAUAGAUAGAUGGACAGAUAAAUCGAAAGAUAGAUGGAUAGACAGCUACAUACAGAGAGAAAGACAAAUAGAUUAAUAAGUAGAGAGAUAGAAAGGAAGGCAGGAAGGAAGGAAGGGAGAAAGAUUGAUAGUGGAUGGAUAGACAACCAGCCAAAUAGACAGAUAAUUUGAAACAUAGACAGAUAGAUGGAUCACCAGACAGAUAGCCAGAUAAAUAGGAUAGUUAGAGAGAUAAAUAGAGAGAUAGAGAGAUGGAUGGAUGGGUGGAUGGAUGGAUACACAGAAAGACAUAAAUAGAAAGAUAGAUGGACAGACAGAAAGAUAGAAAGAUAGAUAGAUAGAUGGAUCAACAGCCAGAAAGUCAACCAGGCAGCCAAACCUAUAGAUAAAUAAAAAAAUACAGAUAGAUAGUUAAUUAGACAGACCAACUGAUAGAUAGACAGAUAAAUAGAAAGAUAAGUACAUAGAUAGAUAGACAUCCAGAUAGACAGAUAGACUAAUAGAAAAUCAGAUGGAUAAAUGGAUAGAUAGAUAGAUAAACAGACAGACAGAUAGAGAAAUAAAUAAACAAAUAAAUAGAAAUAUAGGUAGAUAGAUGGGUAGACAGCCAAACACAGACAGAUACAUACGCAGGUAGACAGACAGAUAGAUAGGCAGGUAGACAGAGAGAGAGACAGACAAACAGAUAAAUAGAAAGACAGAUUCAUAGGUGCUUAGACAUAGAUAGAUAGUCAAAUAGAUAAGUAGAAAAAUAUUUAAAUGGAUAUUGAGACAGAAAAAUCAACAGAUAAAGAGAAAGAUAGAUAAUUGGCCAGAUCAAUCGAAAGGUAUAGAUGGAUGAAUAGACAGCUAGGUAGGCAGACAAACAAAUAAAAAGAAACAUAGAUAGAUGAAUGGAUACACAGACAAACAGGCAAGCAGGCAGACAGGAAGAAAGACAGAAAAACAGACAAAUAGAUAAAUAGAAAGGUAGCUGAUAGACAGCUAGGUAGACAGACAGAUAGAUAAAGCAAAAGAUAGAUGAAUGGAUACACAGGUAGACAAGCAGACAGAUAGAGACAUACAGGCAGACAGACAGACAGACAUAGAUAGAUGGAUAUAUAGACAGACAGACAGACAGAUAGAUGAAUGGAUAGACAGACCAACAGAGAGAAAGAUAGAUGCAUAGAUAGAUAUGUAGAUAAAAAGUCAUAUAAUGGAAAGAUGGCUAAGUAGCAGCCAGAUGGACAGAUAGAUACACAUAGAGAGUGAGAGAUAGCUCGAAAGAUAUAGAUAUAUCUAUCUAUAUACAGACAGAUACAUAGACAGAUAAAUUGAAAGAUACAUAGAUAGAUGGAUAGACAUAAAUACAUAAAUAGAAAGAUAGAUAGAUAAUAGAAAGAUAGUUGAUAGAUAGAUAGAUAAAUAGAUAGAUAGAUAGUAUGUCAGUCAGCCAAAUAGAUAAAUUAAAGCAUAAACAGAUAGAUGGAUAGCCAGAUAAAUAGAAGGAGGGAGAGAAGGAGGGAGAGAGACAGACAGACAGAUCAAUAGAAAGAUAGAUGGAUAAAUAGAUAGUUAGAUGGAUAGAUAGAUAGAGAGAGAGACGGGUAGAUAGAUAAUCAGAUAAAUAGAAAAACAGAUUGAUAGGUGCAUAGACAGAUAAGUAGAAAAAUAUUUCAAUGGAUAUUCUGACAGACAGAUCGACAAAUAAAUAGAAAGAUAGAUGAUAGACAUGGAAAGAUACAUAGAAAGAUAGUGGAUGGAAGAGAGCUAGAUAGACAGACAAACAGAUAAAAUGAUAGAUAAAUGGAUACACAGACAGACAGGCAGAAAGACAGAAAAACAAACUGAUAAAUAGGAAGGUAGAUGAUAGGUAGACAAACAGACAGAUAGACACAUAAAGGGAAAGAUAGAUGGAUGAAUGGAUAAACAGAUAGACAGACUGACCGGAGAUAAAUGGAAAGAUUGAUAGAUGUAUAGAUGGACCGACAGAUGGAUAGACAAAUGACUAGCAAAAUAAGUACAUAGAUGGGUAGACAGCCAAAUGGACAGCCACAUAGACAGAUAAAUAGAAAGUUAGAUAGAUAGAUGGAUAGAUAGGCAAAAAUAGACAGAUAGAUAGAAAGGUAGAUAGGUGGAUAGACAGCCAGAUACAGACAGAUGGCGACUCACAGACAGAUAGACAAAUAGCAAGAUAGAUAAAUAUAAAGAUUAGAUGGAUGGGUAGAGAGAGAGAGAGACAGUGAGACAGACAAGACAGACAGAGAUACAGACAAUGAGACAGAUAGAUAAAUAGUCAAACAGAUAAAUAGAAAGUUAGAUAGGUGCAUAGACAGAGAGACGAAUAGAUAAGUAAAGAAAUACACAAAGAUAGACAGACAGAUAGCUAAAUAGAGAUAAAUAGAAAGAUAGAUAGAAGGAUAAAGAGCCAGAUAGACAGACAGAUAGCUGUAUAGACACACAGACAGGGAGAAAGAUAGAGAAAUAUAGAGACAGAUAGACAGAUGCAUUGGAAAAUAGCUAGCUAGCUAGAAGGAUAGACAUAUACACAGACUAGAUAGAGAGAUGAAUAGAAAGAUAGAAGAAUAGGCAGAUAGACAUACAUAUAGACAGAUACAUGGAUGAAUAGAAAGAUUGAUAAAUGGAUGGACAGUGAGAUAGACAGAUAGAUAGAAAGAUACAUAAAAGGACAGAUAAAUAGGUAGAAAAAUAGAUAAAUGGAUGGAUAGACAGCUAACCAGAAAGAUAAAUAGAUAGAUAGAUGGACAGAAAAACAGACACACACAUAGAUGGAUAGAUAAACAGAUAGAUAGAUGGAUAGACAGAUAAAUAGAAAGAUAGAUGGAUAGACACACAGCCAGAAAGAUAAAUACAAAUAUAGUUAGAUUAAAGACAGAUAGACAGAUAAAUAGAAAGAUAGAUAGAUAGAUGGAUAGAUAUGCAGUCAAAUAAGUAGAAAGAUAGUUACAUAGAAAGAUUGAUGGACAGAUAGACAGAUAAAUAGAGACUGGUGGAUGGAUACAUAAACUGAGAGAGAUAUAGACAGAUAAAUAGAAAGAUAGCUAGAGAGAUGGACAGAUAAAUAGAAAGAUAAAUGAAUAGACAGACAGAUCAGAAGAUAAAUAGAAACAUAGAUCGAUAGACAUAUCCAUCUAUCUUUCUAUUUUUCUAUUUAUCUGUCUAUCCAUCUCUCUAGCCAUCUUUCUGUCUAAUCCAUCUAUCUAUCCAUCUAUCUUUCUAUGUAUCUAUCUCUCUAUCUAUUUGACUAUCAAUGUCUUCUUAUCUGUCUAUCCAUCUAUUUGUCUUUCUAUUUAUCUGUCUAUAGACCUAGCUAUCUAUCUUUCCAUCUAGCUAUCUUUUUAUUUAUCUGUCUCUAUCUGUGUAUCUAUCCGUCUUUCUAUUUAUCUAUCUAUCCAUCUUUCUAGUAUGUAUGUAUGGAUUUAUGUAUGUAUCUGUCUGUCUAUCUAUCUAUAUCAAUUUGACUGUAUAAGCAUCAAUCUUUUUAUCUGUCUAUCCAUGUAGCUAUCUAUCUUUCUGUUUAUCUAUCUGGCUGUCUAUACAUCUGUCUGUCUUUCUAGAUUUCUGUCUAUCUAGCUGUAUGUCUACCUGUCGGUCUAUGCUUCUAUUUAUCUAUAUUUCUGUUUAUUAGUCUAUCUAUCUAUCUUUCUAUUUAUCUAUGUGUCUAUAUGUCUGUUUGUCUGUCUACCCAUCUACUUACUUUUUCUAUCUGUCUGUCAGUCCAUCUAUCUAUCUUUCUAUUCAUCUUUCUAUCUAUGUCUGUCAGGCUUUCUAUCGCUAUAUCUCUCUAUUUUUCUACUCACCUGUCUCUCUUUCUGUCUGGCUGAGACAGACAGACAGACAGAAAGAUAGAUAGUAGAUAAAUAGAAAUAUAGAUAGAUAGAUAAAUAGCAAGAUAUAUGGAUAGAUAGA